rnacentral:rRNA from 1 species
GCUAAGGUCCCAAAGUCAUGGUUAAGUGGGAAACGAUGUGGGAAGGCCCAGACAGCCAGGAUGUUGGCUUAGAAGCAGCCAUCAUUUAAAGAAAGCGUAAUAGCUCACUGGUCGAGUCGGCCUGCGCGGAAGAUGUAACGGGGCUAAACCAUGCACCGAAGCUGCGGCAGCGACACUAUGUGUUGUUGGGUAGGGGAGCGUUCUGUAAGCCUGUGAAGGUGUACUGUGAGGUAUGCUGGAGGUAUCAGAAGUGCGAAUGCUGACAUAAGUAACGAUAAAGCGGGUGAAAAGCCCGCUCGCCGGAAGACCAAGGGUUCCUGUCCAACGUUAAUCGGGGCAGGGUGAGUCGACCCCU